AUGCACCCGCACACACUCACCCAACUCUCUCUCCGCCGCCGCCAUCUAGAUCUCGGCUGGUUGAUUCCGACGGCGCGCAUCACACUCCUCCUGUGCUCGCCUCGCGCCGCUGCGUCCACCCAUCCGGCUGGAUUCGCCGCUCCCCGGUGGCAAGGGCUUCAGUCGCCUCCAACUCCGGCGACUCCGGCGGUUCAUCUCCGACGCCUACCCAGCCCCCGCGUGCAGCUCUGUCUCCUGGAUGAAUUUGUCCUGCUCGAGGACGACCAGUUCUUCCUCAACCUCCAAGGACGCCCGCCAUCGUCGAGCCUCCCUCCGUGGGAUGCCAUGGAGAUGAAACUCCCCUCGACCAGGGAAUUCAAGGGCAUGUGGGAGAGAGAGGAGGUCCAUGGAGAAGAUGCUCUGCUCCAACCCUCCCUGCCUCCUACUACAAGAUGUCUUUUUUGUGUGUGCUUGUAUUGCAGCAGCCAUCAGCAGCAGCAGGCCGAGUGA
rnacentral:rRNA from 1 species